CCUACGGGUGGCAGCAGUGGGGAAUAUUGGGCAAUGGGCGCAAGUCUGAACCAGCAACGCCGCGUGAAGGAAGAAGGCUUUCGGGUUGUAAACUUCUUUUGUCAGGGACGAAGCAAGUGACGGUACAUGACGAAUAAGCCACGGCUAACUACGUGCCAGCCGCCGCGGUAAUACGUAGGUGGCAAGCGUUAUCCGGAUUUACUGGGUGUAAAGGGCGUGUAGGCGGGACUGCAAGUCAGAUGUGAAAACCACGGGCUCAACCUGUGGCCUGCAUUUGAAACUGGAGUUCUUGAGUACUGGAAAGGCAGACGGAAUUCCUAGUGUAGCGGUGAAAUGCGUAGAUAUUAGGAGGAACACCAGUGGCGAAGGCGGUCUGCUGGACAGCAACUGACGCUGAGGCGCGAAAGCGUGGGGAGCAAACAGGAUUAGAUACCCGAGUAGUC
rnacentral:rRNA from 1 species